rnacentral:rRNA from 1 species
GUCUACAGCCAUGCCACCCUGGACAAGCCUGAUCUCGGAAGCUAAGCAGGGUCGGGUCUAGUACUUGGAUGGGAGACCACCUAGGAAGACCAGCUGCUGUAGGCA